GUGUUUUUGGGGUAAAACAAAGGCCUAAUCCAACACAAGUGUUUCUGAGGAAUUCCAAACAACCCCAACCAGCUGCUGGACUACGGCUCCAUUGAUGACGCUGACCUCUGAACUCCCAGCGGAGACAGCAAGAAACAAAGAUCCCUUUUCCCAUGAGGGAGCAAUAAACCAUCACCCAUUUCUUAGAAGGAUGACCCCUUCUGAUUAAAUCUUUGUUUACUCAAUCGAAAAGGUCUGACGUGUUUCUGUCCCACACUGACAACAGAAAGAGUUUUGGCUAGGAUGCGUUAGAAAAGACGCAACAAACAAAGGUAGCGAGGAAUGCAUAAAUAUGCAUUGAAACCAUGUCCUUAUUCACAUAACUUUUCUACUGAAACCACAGAUGUCUUUGUGUGUGACUAGAUGAGCAACAUCAAGGAAUCUGAGAAGUCGAAAUCAGAAUUUAUGUCCUCGACAGGACGAUAAAGACUGCAGAGAUCAGUGAGAAAAGCAGGAUGUGUGUGAGAACUCAUGAGUAAGAAGAGCGAGAACCGAGGACCUCAUUUCAUUCACAUCCUGGCUUCUGCUGAACUUUUGUGCAACUAUUUAUUUCUUGUGUGUUUUCAUGGAAGUUGUGCUUUUCUGUGAGUAGAUAAUUGAAAAUAGAACAGAAUGCAAAAAAACUGUCAAAUAUUGCAAAAUAAAUGUUCUGUUUAAUUUUUGCUCUUCCAAGUAAUACAGCCACAACCUAGCCGCUGAACUUUUAAUGCAUUUUUAGGAUGCAAUAUAUAAUUCUCAGAAAUCUAGGACUAUUGUAUAAAGUUUUACUUAUCUCUACAAACUCGUUUUCAAAUUCGUGAUGUUUUGUAAUCCCACACUUUUCACUCUUGUGCCUCACUUCACACGUGUAUCAGAACAAGUAAAGAUGACAGCAUGGGGGGGAAACACACCAGUUAGCAACAUGGCAUCCAGCAAUAUUUUCUACAUCGUUCCAUGUCUGUGCGUUGACCCUACUAAAAGAGGCUUUUAAUUUGAAUCUGGGCACCGAUAGUCCUAAAUUGUGAAGUCUGAUAAGAUAUUUGCAUUAAAGCAAAUUUGUGUGAUUUCAGAAAUACAAGAAUUUUCUUUAUAACCUUUAAAUGUAAAUCCUAACUACCCCCACUAACCAAAUAACAAACCAAAUCCUACUCACCAUUUGCUUAGUAAUAAAGCCAGGGUGUCGGGUUGCUCGUUUGGUUAAGUUUACUACACCUCUAUAAAGCCUGAAAGUCCUUUUAGCAGCAGGUCCUGAUUUGCAGCCGGGCUACGUUUCCAC